rnacentral:rRNA from 1 species
AGAUACCCCACUAUGCUUAGUCGUAAACCCUAAUAGUCACAAAACAACUAUUCGCCAGAGUACUACUAGCAACAGCCUAAAACUCAAAGGACUUGGCGGUGCUUCAUACCCCUCUAGAGGAGCCUGUUCUGUAACCGAUAAACCCCGAUCAACCUCACCAACCCUUGCUACUUCAGUCUAUAUACCGCCAUCUUCAGCAAACCCUAAAGGGAGCAAAAGUAAGCAUAACCAUCCUACAUAAAAACGUUAGGUCAAGGUGUAACCUAUGGGUUGGGAAGAAAUGGGCUACAUUUUCUAAGCUAAGAACAUCCCCUACCCACACGAAAGUUUUUAUGAAACUUAAAAACCAAAGGAGGAUUUAGUAGUAAAUCAAGAGCAGAGUGCUUGAUUGAAUAAGGCCAUGAAGCACGCACACACCGCCCGUCACCCU